UUAAAAAGUGGAGGGAACUCCAUCAUGGCAGUGGAAACUGUUGGGCUUGAGUGUGGUAGGGGCAGAGGGAAUUCCCGGUGUAGCGGUGAAAUGCGUAGAUAUCGGGAAGAACACCAGUGGCGAAGGCGCUCUGCUGGGCCAUCACUGACGCUCAUGGACGAAAGCCAGGGGAGCGAAAGGGAUUAGAUACCCCUGUAGUCCUGGCCGUAAACGAUGAACACUAGGUGUCGGGGGAAUCGACCCCCUCGGUGUCGUAGCCAACGCGUUAAGUGUUCCGCCUGGGGAGUACGCACGCAAGUGUGAAACUCAAAGGAAUUGACGGGGGCCCGCACAAGCGGUGGAGUAUGUGGUUUAAUUCGAUGCAACGCGAAGAACCUUACCAGGGUUUGACAUCCUGCGAAUCUCUUGGAAACGAGAGAGUGCCUUCGGGAACGCAGUGACAGGUGGUGCAUGGCUGUCGUCAGCUCGUGUCGUGAGAUGUUGGGUUAAGUCCCGCAACGAGCGCAACCCACGUCUUUAGUUGCCAGCAUUUAGUUGGGCACUCUAGAGAGACCGCCGGUGAUAAACCGGAGGAAGGUGUGGAUGACGUCAAGUCAUCAUGCCCCUUACAUCCUGGGCUACACACGUACUACAAUGCUACGGACAAAGGGCAGCAAGUUCGCGAGGACAAGCAAAUCCCAUAAACCGUGGCUCAGUUCAGAUCGUAG
rnacentral:rRNA from 1 species